rnacentral:rRNA from 1 species
CGCCCUUCAGAGGGGGACAACAGUUGGAAACGACUGCUAAUACCGCAUACGAUCCAAUCUCGGCAUCGAGACUGGAUGAAAGGUGGCCUCUAUUUAUAAGCUAUCACUGAAGGAGGGGAUUGCGCCUGAUUAGCUAGUUGGAGGGGUAACGGCCCACCAAGGCGAUGAUCAGUAGCCGGUCUGAGAGGAUGAACGGCCACAUUGGGACUGAGACACGGCCCAG